rnacentral:rRNA from 1 species
AGAACGAACGCUGGCGGCAUGCCUAAUACAUGCAAGUCGAACGAACACUUCGGUGUUAGUGGCGCACGGGUGCGUAACGCGUGGGAAUCUGCCCUUGGGUUCGGAAUAACAGUUGGAAACGACUGCUAAUACCGGAUGAUAUCGAAAGAUCAAAGAUUUAUCGCCCAGGGAUGAGCCCGCGUAGGAUUAGCUAGUUGGUGAGGUAAAGGCUCACCAAGGCGACGAUCCUUAGCUGGUCUGAGAGGAUGAUCAGCCACACUGGGACUGAGACACGGCCCAGACUCCUACGGGAGGCAGCAGUAGGGAAUAUUGGACAAUGGGCGCAAGCCUGAUCCAGCAAUGCCGCGUGAGUGAUGAAGGCCUUAAGGGUCGUAAAGC